rnacentral:rRNA from 1 species
AACGAACGCUGGCGGCAUGCCUAACACAUGCAAGUCGAACGAGACCUUCGGGUCUAGUGGCGCACGGGUGCGUAACGCGUGGGAAUCUGCCCUUAGGUUCGGAAUAACUCAGGGAAACUUGAGCUAAUACCGGAUAAUGACGUAAGUCCAAAGAUUUAUCGCCUAGGGAUGAGCCCGCGUAGGAUUAGCUAGUUGGUGGGGUAAAAGCCUACCAAGGCGACGAUCCUUAGCUGGUCUGAGAGGACGAUCAGCCACACUGGGACUGAGACACGGCCCAGACUCCUACGGGAGGCAGCAGUGGGGAAUAUUGGACAAUGGGCGAAAGCCUGAUCCAGCAAUGCCGCGUGAGUGAUGAAGGCCUUAGGGUUGUAAAGCUCUUUUACCCGGGAUGAUAAUGACAGUACCGGGAGAAUAAGCUCCGGCUAACUCCGUGCCAGC